AAGCAUCUGGCAUUUCUCCUGUUGGCAUUCAUUCUCUCCCCUGUCACCCUGUGAAGAAGUGCCUUCUGCCAUGAUUGUCAGUUUCCUGAGCCCUCCCCAGCCAAGAAGAACUGUAAGUCAAUUAAACCUCUUUUCUUUCUAAACUACCCAGUUUUGAGUAUUUCUUGUGAGAACAGCCGGUACAGUACCACAUUAAGUUCACUCAGUUUCUGAUACUUCAAGGUAGUGACAAGCUGGAAUUUUUAUAAGAUUUAAUACAGGAGUCUUAGUGGAACAGACUACAGUCCCUAAUGCUGCCACUUUGUCCAAGACCAUUAGAGAUAUUUACCAUCUCUUGUCUCAAUUGUUCAUUCUAGAUUUUCUCCCUUUUUCAGGCAGAAUUUUAUCUCAUCUAAACAGCUUACCUGGUGUGAUGACCAAGAGCUUUCUCUCUGAAAGGCAUUUAGAUGGUCUGGAAACAAUUUUGACCGUCAAGAAUUGGGUGAAGAGGCCAGGCGCCGUGGCUCGCACCUGUAAUCCCAGCACUUUAGGAGGAUGAGGAAGAGGAAGAAGAAAAGGAAGGAAGGAGAGGAAAAAGGAAGGACGGAAGAAAAGAAAAAAGAAUGAGAGAGAGAGAACAAAAGCAUCAAGGAUAAGUGAUGCUAAGAAGACGGGCUAGCCCUAUGCAGAAGAAUGAAAUUGGACCCUUUCCUUUCACCAUAUACAAAAACUCACUCAAGAUGGGUGAAAGACUUAAAUGUAAAACCUAAAACUGAAAACCCUAGGAAACCUAGGAAAUGUCAUUUUGGAUAUAGGCUCUGGCAAAGAUUUCAUGAUAAAGACUCCAAAAGCAAUUGCAACAUUAAAAAAAAAAAUGACAAGGAGAACAU